AUGAAUAAUGGGCAUCCAUAGAAAGGGUAUCCAUGCAAUCAACGCAAGUCUCACAAGUGUGCACUGCCAAAUGUGCCAAACAUCUAUGUAACACCCGGUUUUUGAGUUUAUUAUAUUAUUUACAGUUUCUAGUCUUUGGGUUUUUGUUACAGUCAUGUCUUAUGGUUUGUCUCUGUGUAAUCCUUAGUUGCUAUAUCCCCGUGUCCAGUCAGUGUCUGUGUCUGCCCUGGUCCCACGUCUCUGUUGUAGUGCCUACAUGUGAGUCUGUGUCUUUGUUCAGUCUGUGUUAUGUGUUUCCUGUUUUACUUUGAAGGUCUCUAUCUUAUCUCAGUGUGUUCAGUUUACGCUUCCUUGUCUCGUCAGUUCUGAUUUGCCCCAGCUGUGUUUCCCUCCUGUUGUCCAUUCCCUGAUUGCUCCCUCUAUGUAUUUAAGCCCUGUGUUUCAGUUUGUCAUGGUUGUGAUCUACUCUUAUCUACCCUUGCUUAUGCUGUGUGCUUUGAUUUUUCCCCUGCCUGCGUUAAUGUUUGUACUUUGGAGGUUUGUUACUUUGAGUUCAGCAUUAAAGCUGUUUUUUGAGUUCACGUCUGUCUCCGGAGUCUGCACUCUGGGUCCUUUUCCUGCCUGCACACAGCUGUCACAUAACACAUCCACUAUGUAAGUCUAUGUGCUGCAGUCAUUGCCGAGGGCUUGUUUAUUACCGGCCACCAUAACACCGUGUCUUUGUGUGACACAGAAAAGGUGAACGAUGGUCUCUACAUGCAUAGUUCCCACCAUGAAGCAUGGAGGAGGUGUGAUAGUGUGGGGAGGCUUUGUGGUGACACUAUCAAGGAUUUAUUCAAAAUUGACGGCACACUGAACCAGCAUGGCUACCACAGCAUCCUGCAGCCACAUGCCAUCCUGUCAUUUAUUUUUCUUUUUUUCUUUUUUUUUUGCCCGUUUGGAUCUUUAGCCGUCAGAAUUGUUGUCUGAAGGCAGAAAGAUGCCAAACAGAUUUACUUCACCAAGUGGAUCAUCAUGGCCUGCCAUAUUGGUCCAUUUGAUUGACCUUUAUUAUUAUCAUGUAUUUAUUUUAUUUUC
ensembl:lncRNA